CGGUAGUCUUUAACAGGUUUCCCUGCAGGGCCCAUAGUCUGUGGGCAGGAAGCUGGCAAGCAGGCCCCUCCAAGUACAAGUGGCGCGGUUACUGUCGCCACACACUUCAAUGAUAUGGAGCAGUUACAGUGCUACAGCGUACCUUUAACCAUAACUACAUCAGAAGAUGUCUUGACACUCCAACUCUGGUCUCCACUGACACAGAGAAAG